AUUGAACGCUGGCGGCAUGCUUUACACAUGCAAGUCGAACGGCAGCACAGCAGAGGUAACUCUGUGGGUGGCGAGUGGCGAACGGGUGAGUAAUACAUCGGAACGUACCCUGUUGUGGGGGAUAACUACGCGAAAGCGUAGCUAAUACCGCAUACGCCCUGAGGGGGAAAGCGGGGGGACCCUAAAUAGAGCGCACUGGGGAGUGCGUUGUAUUUAGGGCCUCGCGCAAUAGGAGCGGCCGAUGUCGGAUUAGCUAGUUGGUGAGGUAAAGGCUUACCAAGGCGACGAUCCGUAGCUGGUCUGAGAGGAUGAUCAGCCACACUGGGACUGAGACACGGCCCAGACUCCUACGGGAGGCAGCAGUGGGGAAUUUGGACAAUGGGGGCAACCCUGAUCCAGCCAUGCCGCGUGAGUG
rnacentral:rRNA from 1 species